rnacentral:rRNA from 1 species
AUGUCAGGGAACCCAGUGGCCGGCGCGCCGGGUGCCGCCGAGCCGUAUGCGCCGCAGGCGACCUACAACUUCAGCGCCCGCCUCGCGCUCACCGUCUCUUUGGUUCUCCUGAUGAUCACCGUCGUCGUCGUCGUCAUCCCUCUCAUGGUUUACCUGAUGAUCACUCGCUCACGCAGAGGCGGCGGCCACGGCCUCGCCGGCGGCAUCCUCCGGUCCGUUGGCAUGAUCAGCAGCCGGCGGCACGGGUUGGACGCGUCCGCGCUCUCGGCGCUGCCGGUCACCGCGUACCGGAAGGAGAGCGGCGCAGCCGCGAGGGCUGAGUGCGCCGUGUGCCUGGCCGAGCUCGCCGACGGAGACGAGGCGCGCGAGCUGCCCAACUGCGGCCACCUGUUCCACUUGGAGUGCGUCGACGCCUGGCUGCGCACCAGGACGACGUGCCCUCUCUGCCGGGCCCAGGCGGCCGGGCUGCCCGGCGAGAACGGGAAGGCACAGCCGUCGUCGUCGGUGGCGGCCGCGGAGCCGGCGUUGAUUGGUGCUGCCGGAGGAAGCUUGACCGCGACCGCGCAAGGUGGCUCUCCGUGUACCGAGAAAGACGCGCGGGUGUCAACAUCCGGAUCUCCCUGCUAG